CAAAUAACGGUCAGAGUUUCCUGUUUAAAUCUGCCCCUCUCUCUGCCCAGACUGCACUUAAGAGACACAAUCCGCAGCCACCCGUGUCUGUGCAGUUACCAGCCAGUCCCUGAGAACUUUCCCCUCAAACCCCUGGGGAAAUGAGGCUUUGGCUGUACCUCGUUCUCACUGCAGCAUGUCUGGAAGGUGUCCGGUCGCAGGCGCUGGUGGAGUCCGGAGGGGAUGUGAAAAAGCCCGGAGACUCUCUCCGCCUCUCCUGCAAAGCCUCCGGCUUCACCUUCAGCAGCUACUGGAUGAGCUGGGUCCGGCAGGCUCCCGGGAAGGGACUGGAGUGGAUCGCCUUAAUUCACGGUUCCAGCAUAUACUACAGUGACUCGGUAAAAGGGCGAUUCACCGUCUCCAGAGAUGACCCCAGCAGCCUGUUGUACCUGCAAAUGACCGGCCUGAAGCCCGAGGACACCGCCCGCUAUUACUGUGCGAGACACACAGUGCGGGGAACCCCGACAGGGCUCGUACAAAAACCCGAGCGGCAGAACCGCCCUUCCGCCAUGCGCCGCGCGGGGGCAGCACUUCCCCAGACAAUCCGGCCCUGGGCACGGGCACAGGAGCUGCAACCAGAGUGA